rnacentral:rRNA from 1 species
UACGUAGGGUGCAAGCGUUGUCCGGAAUUACUGGGCGUAAAGGGCGCGUAGGCGGUUAUUUAAGUUAGAUGUGAAAUCCCUGGGCUUAACCUAGGAACUGCAUCUGAUACUGGAUAACUGGAGUGCGGUAGAGGGUAGUGGAAUUUCCGGUGUAGCGGUGAAAUGCGUAGAUAUCGGAAGGAACACCAGUGGCGAAGGCGGCUACCUGGACUGACACUGACGCUGAGGCGCGAGAGCGUGGGGAGCAAACAGG